ACGAAUGGUCUCCGUACCUUCAAACCCCUCAAACCAGUGGACAUUUGAAAAUGUGCUUCGGCGCUCUUGCGCCGUCUUUAUGCCAUGAAUCUGUCGUUUGUGUCUGAAUGCAAAGCAAAAUAAUGA
rnacentral:misc_RNA from 1 species